GGGGAAUAUUGGGCAAUGGACGCAAGUCUGACCCAGCAACGCCGCGUGAAGGAAGAAGGCUUUCGGGUUGUAAACUUCUUUUAAGGGGGAAGAGUAGAAGACGGUACCCCUUGAAUAAGCCACGGCUAACUACGUGCCAGCAGCCGCGGUAAUACGUAGGUGGCGAGCGUUGUCCGGAAUUACUGGGCGUAAAGGGUGCGUAGGCGGGAUAUUAAGUUAGAUGUGAAAACCCUGAGCUUAACUUGGGGACUGCAUUUAAAACUGGUAACCUAGAGUGCAGGAGAGGUAAGCGGAAUUCCUAGUGUAGCGGUGAAAUGCGUAGAUAUUAGGAAGAACAUCAGUGGCGAAGGCGGCUUACUGGACUGUAACUGACGCUGAUGCACGAAAGCGUGGGGAGCAAACA
rnacentral:rRNA from 2 species